GUGAUGGACCAUGAAUGCUGCCUUAGAGAAUGGAAUUUUUUAGGCACCUCAUCAAUCCUUUUCACGAUUGUGCUCUGAGUGAAGGCUGGUCGCCUUCCUUCGCUUGAGGAAGAGCACCAGGUUCUUCAACAUCAAAGAAAAGGCAAAACUAUCAAACGAUUUUGUUAAGAUGGCUAAGCGAUCUUGCAUGUCUUACCUUCUCAUAUUUCUCCUUGUCAUCACCUCAGGCAAGAUGAUAGCAUCAGAACUGACUACAAAUAAUCGUUGCGCAACAUUUCUCAACCACCGGUGUGUCAAUUGGCUCUGUAGAAAGCAAUGCUUUGAAAAAAUGACUGGAUAUGGGAAAUGCAUUCACGGUAUUAACUCAGAUGUUAUCUGGUGCCUUUGCUAUCAUCCAUGCAAAUAAGCAUAUUGUAUCUCAUAUUUAUAAACAGAAUAAAAUUAAUAAAAUUCUAUGUUAAAUUAAAAAGUGUA